rnacentral:rRNA from 1 species
CCUACGUGAGGCAGCAGUGAGGAAUAUUGGUCAAUGGGCGCGAGCCUGAACCAGCCAAGUAGCGUGAAGGAUGACUGCCCUACGGGUUGUAAACUUCUUUUAUAAAGGAAUAAAGUGAGGCACGUGUGCCUUUUUGUAUGUACUUUAUGAAUAAGGAUCGGCUAACUCCGUGCCAGCAGCCGCGGUAAUACGGAGGAUCCGAGCGUUAUCCGGAUUUAUUGGGUUUAAAGGGAGCGUAGAUGGGUUGUUAAGUCAGUUGUGAAAGUUUGCGGCUCAACCGUAAAAUUGCAAUUGAUACUGGCAGUCUUGAGUACAGUUGAGGUAGGCGGAAUUCGUGGUGUAGCGGUGAAAUGCUUAGAUAUCACGAAGAACUCCGAUUGUGAAGGCAGCUUACUAAACUGCCACUGACAUUGAUGCUCGAAAGUGUGGGUAUCAAACAGGAUUAGAUACCCCAGUAGUC